GUGCUUGCUUCGGUAGCACAUAGACUAAAUAGCAUGGCCCCUGCACAAGGAUGACAUAUAAAUCAGUGAAGUGUUCCAUAUUUUU
ensembl:snRNA U6 U6 spliceosomal RNA